rnacentral:rRNA from 1 species
UACGGGGGGGAGCAAGCGUUGUUCGGAUUUACUGGGCGUAAAGGGCGCGUAGGCGGUCAGCACAAGUCAGUUGUGAAAUCUCCGAGCUUAACUCGGAAAGGUCAACUGAUACUGUGCGACUAGAGUGCGGAAGGGGCAACUGGAAUUCUUGGUGUAGCGGUGAAAUGCGUAGAUAUCAAGAGGAACACCUGCGGCGAAGGCGGGUUGCUGGGCCGACACUGACGCUGAAGCGCGAAAGCCAGGGGGAGCGAACGGGG